UACGGAGGGUGCAAGCGUUAUCCGGAUUCACUGGGUUUAAAGGGUGCGUAGGUGGGUCUGUAAGUCAGUGGUGAAAUCUCCGGGCUUAACCCGGAAACUGCCAUUGAUACUAUAGGUCUUGAAUUUUCUGGAGGACAGCGGAAUAUGUCAUGUAGCGGUGAAAUGCUUAGAUAUGACAUAGAACACCAAUUGCGAAGGCAGCUGGCUACAGGAACAUUGACACUGAGGCACGAAAGCGUGGGGAUCAAACAGG
rnacentral:rRNA from 1 species